GGAUAUCUUAUUCAGCCAUGGUGCGAUGGGGUAGUAGUUCUGUUGAGGCGUCCUGAGAUUUUUUUCGCAGGUUCUUUCAGCCAUGUGUUGGCUGUAUGUGUUUUGAUCAAGAAUAUUGUUUUGGUAUGUUUUGCGGUUGUUCACUACGUACUAGUGUUGUUGUUUGGGGUGCUCUUGUUUGUCUUUGUUUUGAGCCACUUGAGAUUUCUUGCUCAUUAGCAUUCUUUGUUUAGAAUUUGUAUUUUGUGUUUGUUUCUAUUUUAUAUUUUCUAUUUAAAAGAAUGCAAUUUGAACUUGCAAUAAAAAGAGAGUAACGUUAAGGCUAUUUGUGAUAAAAGAGUCUUUAAGAAAAAGGCUAUUUGUGAUAAAAAGAAAAACAAUAAAAAAAUGUAGUGUUUUUAGUGUGCCUAUUAUGUUGUGAUUAGACAUGCUUAUUGUUCAAAUCUCCUACGUAAGAUAAGCUUAUAGUGACAUCAUGUGUUAUUGUAUGAUAUAUGGUACCCUCAAUUGCAUAUAUAUGAUCCUGCAUAAGCCACACAUAAAAUAUUUAAUAAUGAUUCUUAAAAAUUGAUGCCCCUGAUGGCUUACAAAACGUUCACAGUCAUUAUUUAGCACUUUAAAUUCUCGUUCAAUGAAAUGCAAACUGUGAAGUAACUUAGGACAUACACUAAAUUUUGAUGUUGCAGCUACUGCCUGAAUGUUAUAUAUUAUCCUAUAAGAAGUCUAUAUAUAGGAUCUGCAACUGACAAGAGCAGCCUGCUAUAAUAUGAAGAUGAUAAUGCAUUUUGUCAUACUAAUCCAACCAGCUUGAUUUAAUAUGACAUGAACAGAUCCUAUAAUGCAUUUUAUCUUGUAUUUCAUUGUUGAAUUUCUCUAUUUGUCAUUCUUUUGCUUGUCGAGUGGUCCUGGGUUUUCCUUUCAUUUCUACAGCUUUUGUAAAAUUGUGUUGGUUGCCAUAAUUAGUGAGUUGUUGGUUUGGAACUAAAAAAUUCUUUGUAAAAAAGUAAGUAUUUUUAUACAUGUCUGCUAUAUUCUUUCUCGUUUUCACAUUUUAUCUUUGUUGUAUUUUAUAUGUCAAUGAACCUGCCGAUGAAAAGUUGUCUAAUUUUCAAGUAACACAUCACAUUUUGAUCACCACAAUCAAGAAUGUGAAAUUAGAGAUGUUGAGGAUGAUCCUUUCUUUAACACAUCACAUUUGCCUGAGGUUGAACUUACAUAUAAAAUUCCCGAUACGAGAAACGAUCACAAUGGUGGGAUUUGGAUCAAUCAAUCAUUUUGGGUAAAUAAAAAACUGAAAACUUUGAAUCUAAUUACAAUGAAGGGGAAAAAGCCAAUUUGCAAGAUGAUAUAGAUGAGGAAUUUCAAGAGGAAGACGUAGAUGAUGAAUUUCUUAAGGAUGAAUUUCUUGAGGACAACUUAAGUGAUGAAUUUCAGGAGGAUGAUAUAGAUGAUGAAUUUCAAGAGGAUGACCUGGAUGAUGAAUUUGAAGUGGACGAUUUGGCUGAUGAAUUACAAGAUAAACUUGAAUGAUCGAGUUGGAUGGUGUUUUAUUUUGGAUUGUAGUUAAACCACUAAACUUGUCCGAACUAUAGUUUUGUUAUUUUGCUAGGCUUAUACUUCGAAGCAUUAAACUUAUCAAGUAAUGUUUGACAUUUUGAUUACUAUUAUGUCUUGAAUUAAUGUUUGAACUAUUUUAUUAUAUUACAUCUUUUGUGGUUGUAUUG